UUCAAACGUUAAUUAUACAGUCCUCAUUUCAAAAGACUAUUCUUGCACCAAGGCAAAUGUCACCAAAGGCUAUGCAGCCUGUGCCUGCUGCAACACUGGUGCUCUCAGUGCGUUAUCUCCUUUUUUCCGUCACCCAGGGCAAAGAUGGACCUAGACCUUGUACCAGCUGCCUGAGCUGUGGUUCCCGGGGAGUCCUCCAGCUUUGUCUUCUGCAAUUUGUUCUGACUGCUGUGCUGCUGGCCAGGCCCACUGGGGCACUGAGCUGAUGCCCCACCUUGAAGACUCUCUUUCCCAUUGCCCUUUAGUUUUCUCGCUAAUUAAUGCUCUCUGGAUGUUCUCGUUUAAGCAAGGGCUCCCUAGGUUGCUGAUUGUGCCCUCUUUUCGUGUUCCUGGUCAGUUCUUCUAACAAUAUGGGUCUGAUCACCCUGGUGUAGUCAGUAAAAUGCAUCUCUCAGUGCUGCUGUUAGCAGUCUGUAAUCCUAUCAUUGCCGAUUUGUCAGGUUUCCCAGGAGCCAGGCCAGUCAUGACUUUCUAGUAUUUUUUAAAUGCUCCUGUGCACACACCAGACAAAGCAACAGUGCAAGCAAGAGUAUCAGGUGCUGGAGUGUUACUACUGCCAUUUGGAAAACCCAAACUCACUGUUCCACUUCUUGCCAUUUUGACGUCGCAGUGAUGUGCUGAGCACCAAGUUUCAGAAGUCAAAAGCUGCUUGUAGAAUCAAAAGAAUCUUUGCAAAAGUGUAUUUAAUAUGAUGAUGUUAAAUCUGUGUGAGCCUGUGUUUUUAUGCAGAGAAGCCAGAGGAAUGGGAUUAUUAUACAAGGUCAUGUGUUUAUACAUCCUUUUUCUCAAGGUCGAUCUGCAAACAUUUGAGGGCAAGUUUAAAUGAUGCUGCUGAGCCAAUCUUCCCAUUUCUUUUAUGAAGCAAGGGGUUUGACUGCUCUCAACUAGCAUAAAACCACUCUGCACUGGGAACAGCCAAAUACCACCUGGUCUGCAAUGAAAUUAGAGCAGCAGAUUUUUGAGUGUGUGCUGUCAUUUUUUUGACUCUGGAAGCUCUCUAAUUUCUUCUCCCUCUUACCACAUAUUUGAGUUUCUCUGAAGAUGACUAUUUGUACUUCAAGUAUUUUUCCUUCUAAUUUGGUCUUAAAAUAUGAAAUAUUGAAUAAUGCCGGUGGAGGAACAUCUCCCUAUGUACUCCUGAUUCUGCUGAUAGCCAGUGCACAAUACAAAUGCUCUAGCUAACUAUAGCACACUGAAGUUUUUGCA
rnacentral:lncRNA from 1 species